CCCAAACAAAAAAAAUUUGCACGUUUUUACCUGAACUCGUUUAUUCGUUGCACGGUGCCCCCUAAACUCAAUUUUCCGGCAAUUUUAACCGGAAUGUUAAAACAUGUGCGAUGCACGUGAGAUUUGAAGGGUAAAUUUGUCCCUUCACUUACAUCUUAUAUAUUAAUUAUAAAUUAAUUAUUAAAAUAAAAAAUAAAAAAUAAUAAAAAAAUAAAGAAAAAUAAACAAACUCAGUUAUCCGUCACCCACACCACCCAAAUCCAACUCAUCCCCCAAUCCAAAGAAUCAGAAAGUCCCCAAAUUUUCCGACGACCGCCAGCCCCACUCCUCCCUUCUCGGCCAUAGGUGAAGGUGAUGAUGAUUUGGUAUAACCCGAACCCGAAUCAUUUGAUUUUUCAAGUAUCCAGCCAAGAUCUGUACAACCAAUCGAAGUUUUCGGGUCUCCAAAGUCUCAACCUUCGUAUGCCGACACCAUCAGUGCUAUAACCACCGAUCCGGAUUUUAUAGCGACACUAGCGGAAUUAAUCCAUUAGCCUCGUCGUCGACGUUAAUGCGUAAUCGUUUGGCAAUGGGAUGGUGGGCGGUUGUGGGCUGGGAUUUGGGGGUGGGUCUCGUUGUCGGAGUCGGUUCUCAGUUGUUGUGGUGAAGUUGUUCAGGUUAAUUGCGGCAGCAGAAGCUGUGGGAACUGGAUUACGGAGAGUAAGUGAUGAACGAGAAUUGAGAAAGAAGAAUUAGAAUCAGGGAAAAGAAAGGGAGAAAAAUAAAUUGAAAGAAAAUAAGAAAAAAAAAA
rnacentral:lncRNA from 1 species